GACAGAGGAUGCAAGCGUUAUCCGGAAUGAUUGGGCGUAAAGCGUCUGUAGGUGGCUUUUUAAGUCCGCCGUCAAAUCCCAGGGCUCAACCCUGGACAGGCGGUGGAAACUACCAAGCUGGAGUACGGUAGGGGCAGGAGGGAAUUUCCGGUGGAGCGGUGAAAUGCGCAGAUAUCAGGAGGAACACCGGUGGCGAAGGCGCCACUCUGGGCCGGAACUGACGCUGAGGAGCGAAAGCGUGGGUAGCAAACAGG
rnacentral:rRNA from 1 species